rnacentral:rRNA from 1 species
UACGUAGGGUGCAAGCGUUUAAUCGGAAUUACUGGGCGUAAAGCGUGCGCAGGCGGUUGUGCAAGACCGAUGUGAAAUCCCCGGGCUUAACCUGGGAAUGGCAUUGGUGACUGUACGGCUAGAGUGUGUCAGAGGGGGGUAGAAUCCACGUGUAGCAGUGAAAUGCGUAGAGAUGUGGAGGAAUACCGAUGGCGAAGGCAGCCCCCUGGGAUAACACUGACGCCUCAUGCACGAAAGCGUGGGGAGCAAACAGG